rnacentral:rRNA from 1 species
UACGUAGGCAGCAAGCGUUGUUCGGAGUUACUGGGCGUAAAGGGUGCGUAGGCGGUUGUUUAAGUUUGGUGUGAAAUCUCCCGGCUCAACUGGGAGGGUGCGCCGAAUACUGAAUGACUAGAGUGCGGGAGAGGAGAGUGGAAUUCCUGGUGUAGCGGUGAAAUGCGUAGAUAUCAGGAGGAACACCGGUGGUGUAGACGGCUCUCUGGACCGCAACUGACGCUGAGACACGAAAGCGUGGGUAGCAAACAGG